GUCCCGCUGGUCUAGGGGUUAUGAUCCUCCCUUAGGGUGUAACACCGCAAUUGGGAGGGGUGCCCCGUUCGAGUCGGGGGUGGGACC